rnacentral:lncRNA from 1 species
AAUACCACCUUGACUUUAUUUGUUUCGUAGGAAAAGUAUUGCACCAGAAAAGGAAGGGAGAAGACCUGUGGUGUAUCUUAAAUCAAUCCGUUUUGCUUCGGAGGACUAAAUGAGUUGAUUACGGCACACCUAGGGAAUUAUUGAAUUGAAAAAAGGCUGCUUCAGAAACAGCAAGAGAGAAGAGUACCAAAUUACGGCUUCCUCUUUCAAAAAUAGUCGAGCAUUUCUUUCUCACGGAUUGCUGCCUCUCUGGAAAGUUAUUUGGCUCAUUUGGUAUGCAGUUUAGGUACUGACGUUCUCAGAGGAGGGCUGAGGAGGCUGCGRGCUUCAUCGUUAGCGCAGGGCAGAGCAGCACACGUGGUCGCCACAUGCUGCGGAAGUGUUGGCGUGGCUCUGUGCCUUUCGCCUCUCCCUUGGACCUCCUUCGGAGCAAACAUCGCUCCGCAGGAUGCAACCCUUCCAAAAUGCCUUGCCGAAGCAUCAGGUGGAACUAAUGUGACUGAAGUGUCUAUAAUGGAGGUGUUUUUGCCUGACAAGUCACCCCAGGCGCCUCUUACAGUCAUUAGAGAACGAGUCAACAGUCGGAGAAGAGGAGAGUGCCCCUCAUCUCAUCCUGAAUUGGACGUCUAUGUUUGGUCACCUGAAUCGC